rnacentral:rRNA from 1 species
ACACGGGGGGGGCAAGCGUUGUCCGGAAUUAUUGGGCGUAAAGGGCACGUAGGCGGGAUGAUCAGUCUGAGGUGAAAGCUUGCGGCUUAACCGUAAGUCUGCCUUGGAUACUGUCAUUCUUGAGUGCGGAAGAGGGAAGUGGAAUUCCUGGUGUAGCGGUGAAAUGCGUAGAUAUCAGGAAGAACACCGGUGGCGAAGGCGGCUUCCUGGUCCGAUACUGACGCUGAUGUGCGAAAGCGUGGGGAGCAAACAGGAUUAGAAACCCCAGUAGUCC